rnacentral:rRNA from 1 species
UGGGGAAUAUUGGACAAUGGGGGAACCCUGAUCCAGCAAUGCCGCGUGUGUGAAGAAGGCCUGAGGGUUGUAAAGCUCUUUUACCAGGGACGAUAAUGACGGUACCUGGAGAAUAAGCCCCGGCAAACUUCGUGCCAGCAGCCGCGGUAAUACGAAGGGGGCUAGCGUUGUUCGGAUUUACUGGGCGUAAAGCGCGUGUAGGCGGGUCGUUAAGUUGGGGGUGAAAUCCCGAGGCUCAACCUCGGAACUGCCUUCAAAACUGGCGACCUGGACCUAAGUAGAGGCAAGUGGAAUUGCGAGUGUAGAGGUGAAAUUCGUAGAUAUUCGCAGGAACACCAGUGGCGAAGGCGACUUGCUGGACUUAUGGUGACGCUGAGACGCGAAAGCGUGGGGAGCAAACAGGAUUAGAUACCCAUGUAGUCCCUGAGCGGGCUGGCAAGGCGCAU